GCGGUUGUAGCUCAGUAGGAUAGAGCAUCUGCCUCCUAAGCAGAGGGUCGCGCGUUCGACUCGCGCCAAUCGCACCA
rnacentral:tRNA from 1 species